rnacentral:rRNA from 1 species
GACGAACGCUGGCGGCGUGCUUAACACAUGCAAGUCGAACGGAAAGGCCCUGCUUUUGUGGGUUGCUCGAGUGGCGAACGGGUGAGUAACACGUGAGUAACCUGCCCUUGACUUUGGGAUAACUUCAGGAAACUGGGGCUAAUACCGGAUAGGAGCUCCUGCUGCAUGGUGGGGGUUGGAAAGUUUCGGCGGUUGGGGAUGGACUCGCGGCUUAUCAGCUUGUUGGUGGGGUAGUGGCUUACCAAGGCUUUGACGGGUAGCCGGCCUGAGAGGGUGACCGGCGACAAUGGGACUGAGAGACGGACCAGACUCGUACGGGAGGCAGUAGGGGGGAAUAUUGCACAAUGGGCGGAAGUCUGAUGCAGCAACGCCGCGUGCGGGAUGAAGGCCUACGGGUUGUAAACCGAUGUGGCAUGUGACGAAGAGGGAGUGACGGUAAUGGGUAAAGAAGCACCGGCUAACUACGUG